rnacentral:rRNA from 1 species
GAUUAACGCUGGCGGCAUGCCUAAUACAUGCAAAUCGAACGAAGCACUUGUGCUUAGUGGUGAACGGGUGAGUAACACGUAUCCAAUCUACCCUUAGGUUGGGGAUAACUGGUCGAAAGACUAGCUAAUACCGAAUAUCAAUACUCCUAUCGCAUGAGAAAGUAUUGAAAGAUCCUUUUGGAUCGCCUUUGGAUGAGGGUGCGGCAUAUCAGAUAGUUGGUGAGGUAACGGCUCACCAAGGCGACGAUGCGUAGCCGACCUGAGAGGGUGAUCGGCCACACUGGGACUGAGACACGGCCCAGACUCCUACGGGAGGCAGCAGUAGGGAAUCUUCCACAAUGGACGAAAGUCUGAUGGAGCAAUGCCGCGUGAGUGAUGAAGGUUUUCGGAUCGUAAAAUUCUUUUAUUUGGGAAGAACGACCACGAUAGGAAAUGAUCGUGGAAUGACUGUACCAUUUGAAUAAGUAUCGGCUAACUAUGUGCCAGCCGCCGCCGUAAAAC